rnacentral:rRNA from 1 species
CCUACGGGUGGCUGCAGUAGGGAAUAUUGCGCAAUGGGGGAAACCCUGACGCAGCAACGCCGCGUGGAGGAUGAAGGUUUUCGGAUUGUAAACUCCUUUUAUUAGAGAAGAUAAUGACGGUAUCUAACGAAUAAGCACCGGCUAACUCCGUGCCAGCAGCCGCGGUAAUACGUAGGGGGCAAGCGUUACUCGGAAUCACUGGGCGUAAAGAGCGCGUAGGCGGGAUGGCAAGUCAGAUGUGAAAUCUUAUGGCUUAACCAUAGAACUGCAUUUGAAACUGUUCUUCUAGAGUAUGGGAGAGGUAGGUGGAAUUCUUGGUGUAGGGGUAAAAUCCGUAGAGAUACAGAGGAAUACUAAUUGCGAAGGCGAACUGCUAGAACAUAACUGACGCUGAUGCGCGAAAGCGUGGGGAGCAAACAGGAUUAGAUACCCCAGUAGUC